rnacentral:rRNA from 1 species
UACAGAGGGGGCAAGCGUUGUCCGGAAUUAUUGGGCGUAAAGAGCUCGUAGGCGGUCUGUUGCGUCGGCUGUGAAAACCCGGGGCUCAACUCCGGGCCUGCAGCCGAUACGGGCAGACUAGAGUUCGGCAGGGGAGACUGGAAUUCCUGGUGUAGCGGUGAAAUGCGCAGAUAUCAGGAGGAACACCGGUGGCGAAGGCGGGUCUCUGGGCCGAUACUGACGCUGAGGAGCGAAAGCGUGGGGAGCGAACAGG